AAAGUUAUGGAAUGCUAAAGUGGUAAGGCCAAAAAAAACAAAAAUGUUUUAAGAACUGCAUUUAUCCAAAAUAAAGGAGGUAUCAUGUAAACACAGUGAUUGUGUAGUGCAGGAUAUAAAGGAUUUAAGUUAAUCUGGGAGUAUUUACCCAUGUAUGAGGUAAAACAAAACCAAAACCAAAAAAAUAAAUAAAAAUAAGAUAGUAUUUUUGUAACUGAGCUGAGCAACUUUUAUAAAUAAACAAGAAAACUUUAAUCGUAAUCCUGUAUAAUAUUUACAUUUGUAGAUUAAGUGAUGAAUUGUAUUAAUGUUGAUCAUAUUAAUUUUAGUAAAUAUCCUGAAACAUAUGCAAUACAUUUCACAUAGUGUAGGCCAGGCAGGAAGUCCACUUUGGUGUUUGGUGACGCAGCUCUGCCACCUUGAGGUCAUAAUAGUGACAUUGCAACUACAAUUUUGGUGAGACGUGCUCACUGUGCGCACAGUACACACUUUGAAAAUGGUGCUUUUAAUAUGGAAGACAGAGGGCCUUUUAAAAUAUUGAAAUUGCAUGUUUAUUACGUUUCUAUGCCUUAUGAGAUUUCUACCAUCUGAGCAGUGACGGAGCUGAAGACAGACACAUAAUUCGUGCUUGAAAGCGACAGACGGGUGAGCGCUUUUACCUGAGUGACGAGAUGGACGGUCAGCUGAUCACUGUUUGACAGUAGAUUGAAUUGGUCAUAGAAUGGAGGUUCCUGCAGUAAACCAGAGCUAUACAUGUCCACCACCGCAGCCAUGGGCCGGACAGAGCCCCAGGACCCCAACCAUGCCUCCACCCAGCUGUCCAUCCUUAUCACUACCCAAACCUGAACCCAGAUUAGCAGAGUGUGACCCCGAUGACCCACACGUCAGGAACCUCAGCAGGUCAUCGGCCCCAUUCACUGUAUUGGGAUCCCUCACAGCAAAACUUCCAGGAUGUUCCUGAGAUCACAAAUAUGAGGACUCAAGGAAUGCCACAGAGAAACUACUCAUUACCAACAAGUCCAGUGUCAAAUUCCAAGACAGAGUCUCGGUACGGCCUGGAUCCUCAGCUUCUACCCAGUGUGGCCCGAAGAAACUGUCCGAUCAGAGCUUGGAACUUCCUGUGGUGGAGGGCCUUCUGGUGCCACUGGAAAGACUGCAGACACAUACUUGAAAGAGUUCUACAGGAAAUUUCACUUUUCAACCCUGAAUCGGAAGAUAGAUCCAGCUCACAAGAACUUCCUGUUUCUGCAGGACUGAAGAUUCUUCAGAAAGGAGCCUUAAUAUGA
ensembl:lncRNA